rnacentral:lncRNA from 1 species
GGUGGUCUAAAAGGUACUUCUACAGUAGGUAAAGGUGCUUCAGAAAAUGCAUAAGUCCUUUGGUGCCAUGAUAAUUGUCCUCGUACACUGAAUUUUCCUAGAAAUAAGCAAAGUGCUUGAGGCCAGUCAGAUGCUUAUUACGAAUCGGGUAUACUAUUCAGUUUGACUUUGUUUUCAAAUGGGACAAAAAAAAACAUAAAACGAGCGGGAAGCUCGAAAUAGUGGCAGAUCAAAAAGUGAUUGACCAAGUAGAAUAUUAUACAUCAGAAUCGCUACUGCCAGAGUGAGAAAGCAUCGUGCGUAUUCUCAUCCUGACAAGUUCAAAUAAAGAAGAGGGAAUAACGAGUUGUUCAUUUUAAGGCAAAACUACAUAUCCCAUUCUACUUGAUCUACUAAAGAUGUAUUUCCUACAUGUAUGUUUAACUUAAUUAUAACUCGUUGAUCACACUGAU